rnacentral:pre_miRNA from 1 species
CUCUUACACAGGCUGACCGAUCUCUCCUGGUGUUCAGAGUCUGUUUCUGUCUAGCACCAUUUGAAAUCGGUUAUGAUGUAGGGGGA